UACGUAGGGUGCGAGCGUUAAUCGGAAUUACUGGGCGUAAAGCGUGCGCAGGCGGUUCGUUGUGUCGGCGGUGAAAGCCCCGGGCUCAACCUGGGAAUGGCCGUUGAAACUGGCGAACUGGAGUGUGGCAGAGGGGGGUGGAAUUCCGCGUGUAGCAGUGAAAUGCGUAGAGAUACGGAGGAACACCGAUGGCGAAGGCAGCCCCCUGGGCUGACACUGACGCUCAGGCACGAAAGCGUGGGGAGCAAACAGG
rnacentral:rRNA from 1 species